rnacentral:lncRNA from 1 species
CUAAGUACCUCAUAUUAAUGAAACCACACAGUAUUUGUCGUUUAGUGACCAGCUUAUUUCCCAGAGCAUCACGGCCUCCAGCUUCAUCCAUGCUGCAGCGUGUGUCAGAAUUUCCUUUCUUUUUAAGACUGAAUCAUAUCCAUUGUAUGGAUGUAGCACACUUUCUUUAUUCAUUCAUCCUCUGAUGGACACUUGGGAUGCACACUCGGCUUGCUUCUGCCUCUUUGCUGUUGUGAAUAACGUUGCUGUGAACAUGGGUGUGCAAAUAUCUCUCGGGGACUCUGCUUUCAGUUCUUCUGGAUAUACUCAGAAGUGGGACUGCUGGAUCAUAUGGUGAUUCUAUAUUUAAUUUGCUGCAGAACCACCAUCCUGUUUUCUGCCGUGGCUGCACCCUCUUACAUUCCCACCUGCAGUGCACAACACAGCACUCCUCUUUACCCAGUGUCAUCACCUCCCUUUCUCAUUUUCCUUGGCAGCUUUUCCAAAACAUUUUUCAAUUUCCCUCGGCUUCUCUCCUAUCUGCAUACUCUCCCCUCCUGUGCCCCAAACCCCACCCGGUCCAGUAGCCAAUCAGCUGCAUAGCAAGAGGCCUGCCAGCAUGAGUGGUCUCCAGCGAGAUCAUGAUUUACCUUGAUCUUAAAGCUUUGUGUCACCCUUUCCCUCCAGAUGUCCUAAAACUGACACCAGCCAAUUGCAAAGCCAAUUGGUGUGGAACUUUAGGAGUUAGGUUCCUGGCACAGCUUCGCCUCCCCCAAGUAGCUCCAUCCAUGGCACCUUCUGCUGCCUCUCAAAACUCCUCCUUCUUUUUCUGGAGGAAAACCUACAAUUCAAGAUCUCCAACAGAAAUUGAACUAACUAGGUACCAGCAUGGCCUAUUUCUCCAACUUCAAGUUAACGUCAACCAAACUCAUCUGGAAUGUUGAGACCGAAAAACAUCUAGGAAAAUCUUCACAGUGGUGAGAAGGGCGUUGGAUAUUUGGAGACGGAGAACAAAGAAGACUGAUUUUCAAGUGAGAAAGGCAUCUACAUUGACUGAUAGCAGCUGUGACUCUUUCAGGACAGAGGCUGUUGCUGUAAGCACUGGAUGAUACUGGAGUGACAUGACAGGCCUGAGGAGCCCUCCCCUAGUCAUUCAGAUUCCUGGAAGUCUCUA